rfam:Felis catus isolate Cinnamon breed Abyssinian chromosome F1, whole genome shotgun sequence.
GCCUGGGUGGCUCAGUUGGUUGAGCAUCCGACUUCGGCUCAGGUAAUGAUCUCGCGGUUCGUGGGUUCGAGUCCCACAUCGGGCU